UACCGGGCCUUCGGGCGCCGACGAGUGNCGGACGGGUGAGUANCGCGUAGGAAUCUGCCUAGUAGUGGGGGACAACUUAGGGAAGCUUAAGCUAAUACCCGCAUACGCCCUAUGGGGGAAAGCGGGGGAUCUUCGGACCUCGCGCUAUUAGAUGAGCCUGCGUUGGAUUAGCUAGUUGGUAGGGUAAAGGCCUACCAAGGCGACGAUCCAUAGCUGGUCUGAGAGGACGAUCAGCCACACUGGGACUGAGACACGGCCCAGACUCCUACGGGAGGCAGCAGUGGGGAAUAUUGGACAAUGGGCGGAAGCCUGAUCCAGCAAUGCCGCUGUGUGUGAAGAAGGCCUGAGGGUUGUAAAGCACUUUCAAUGGGAAGGAAAAAAGCCGGGUUAAUACCCUGGUUCCUUGACAUUACCUAUAGAAG
rnacentral:rRNA from 1 species